rnacentral:rRNA from 1 species
UACGGGGGGAGCAAGCGUUGUUCGGAUUUACUGGGCGUAAAGGGCGCGUAGGCGGCCAGCACAAGUCAGUUGUGAAAUCUCCGGGCUUAACUCGGAAAGGUCAACUGAUACUGUGGGGCUAGAGUGCAGAAGGGGCAACUGGAAUUCUCGGUGUAGCGGUGAAAUGCGUAGAUAUCGAGAGGAACACCUGCGGCGAAGGCGGGUUGCUGGGCUGACACUGACGCUGAAACGCGAAAGCUAGGGGAGCGAACAGG